UGAGGAACAUGACCUUCGGCGGGGGAUAGCCGGCCCAACGGCCGGGUAAUACCGCGUACGACCACAUGGGGACAUCCCUGAGUGGUGAAAGCAGCAAUGCGCCGAUGGAGUGCCUCGCGGCCUAUCAGCUAGUUGGUGGGGUAAUGGCUCACCAAGGCGACGACGGGUAGCUGGUCUGAGAGGAUGGCCAGCCACAUUGGGACUGAGACGCGGCCCAGACCUCUACGGGGAGG
rnacentral:rRNA from 1 species